AAUAAAGUAAAAAAUAUAACAAAAUCCUAACAUUAUCAGUAUACCCUGUGAAAGUUAGUCGUAUUUAAGAAAUAUUCCUGAUGAGCAUAUUUACAUAAAAAGUCCAACAACUUGGCUCUGAAUCUGACUUUGAACCAUUCCAAGAAGAGAACUUUCAAAGCGGACGGAGUGACGAUCGUGUGUAAAAAGAAAGUAGGUGGGCAGGCGUAAAGAACACCAUCGGAGCGGGAGUCAGUUGAGAGAACUUUGGAUCGGACCGGACGGCUCUCCCGCUCCCGUGGAUCGGGUGGCUUAAGAAGUGUUACAAUCCCGCGCUGCGCCACAGAAGAAAGAAAGUUUUCGCCUGUGCUGGCUGCUUUGCUCGAGUCGCUCGUCUGGAGUACCUGACUUUGGUACUAACAUUGGCCCAUAGUACUACCACCAUUCCAGUGGCAAUUUAAACAGCCAAUCCGUGUGCUCAGUGGAGCGUCUUCCGCGUUUGUGGCUGCGUCGCUUAAUUGGCCCCAAAGUAUCUCAAGUGUGUGAUUGUGAAAGUUCCUGCUACAAAAAUGUACGUGCGACGUGCUUGGCUCUUGGCCUGUUUGCUGUGCCUUCAUCCCUAUGCCCCCACGUUGGCGGAAGAGGAGGACUCUAAUCCGCUGCUGGACAUGGCUUCCAUGUUCUUCCAGGAGGCUCUGUCCAAUCAGAAUGGUGGCGGCAACAACGGUGGCGGCGGCGGUGGGGCAGGAGCUGGCCUGGCGGGCGUGGCCUCGCUGUUGGGCACUUUUAUGCAGGCCAACGGCAAGGGCGGAGCUGGAGGCGGCGGAGCUAUGCAGAUCCUUUCCGGCAUCGGCAGUCUUCUGGCCAACAAUGCCCGUGGUGGUGGCGGCCAGGGCGGUGGCUUCGACCCCUCUAUCAUCGGCAAUGUCCUGGAAAUGUUCACCCAGGGUGAUGAGGAGGAAUCCACUCCCAACCACAACCAGAAGCGAAGCAAUGGUGGCGGAUCGGAGUCUGGAAUCGGUCUGGAUACCAUCCUCCAGGUGGCUUCCGCUUUCAUGAACACUCAGGGAAAUGACAAGGCUACCCAUAAUCACCAAAAGCGAUCCGCUGGCGAGGAACCCGAGACCGACAACGGACUGAUGAACCUGCUCCCGUUGGUGAUGCAGGCGGUUAGCUCCUUCGCCGGUCCCGAGGGACAGAGCACCCAGGAGAAGCACAAGAGUCAUGCCUGGGUUCUGCCCCCAUUCCUGGAACACAUCCACGUGCUGUGGGAUCACUUCUCCAACUCGGAACUGGCGGAUGCCCUGUACGAGAAAUCCGGAGUCAACAAGAUAAUGAAGGGCUUCAAGGGCAGUGAUGGCAAACUGGACUAUGACAAGCUCUUCGAAUCGCUGAACAACCAAUCCUUCCGCCGCCGAUGGAUCAAGUCAGCCACACUCUACCUGGCCGACUGGGCCAGCUAUCUGGCCAAUCCCGAUGUCUAUCUCAGAUACUUCCAGACGGCACAGAUCAUGUUUAACGGCCUACUGAAGUCUCAAGGUUACCCGAAGCAGACGCACUUCGAUCCCGCCCGUCCUGGUGAGACGAUCUCCAAUCUAUUGGACCACGUGGCGAAGCAUCAUCUGAACGUGAAGAUCGACUCCCGGCAGUAUGUGAAGCCAGCGGUGGGCUAUGCCAAGGAGCUCCUCAAACUGGGCCAGGCCCGCGGUCUGUUGCAGUUCAAUGCCACCGAGAUCAGCGACAAGCUAACGGAUACGCUCAACCUGGAGGUUAUUGAACCGGUGCUAAAAGUCCAUCGCGCCUACAGAUACAUCUCGAAGACGCCGCAAUGCGAUCGUUAUGUGCUCUGCCAGCUGAAUGCAGUGGCUCUUGACCAGCAACAGAAACUCCAACAGCAGCAGAAGAGUCAACAUCGGCAGGCACAGACAUCGGCGUCCGGUUUGAUUGCCGGAGUUAGUCCGAAAAUUGUUAAGAUCGGCAGCAUGGGUGCUGCUAUAUUCAUUAGCACGGAAACCGGUACGCCGUUCUGGACGCUAUUCGGUGUGAUCAAUGCGCCAUACAAUUGCGAGGCCAAAUAUCCAGUCGAUUGCAAUGGCUUCCACGAAGGCGAGGCCAAGGUGACCACGGAGUACAUCCACAAUGAGUUGUAGACACUGUCGCCUUGGCUCCAGGCGGAGAUCGGGAUACGAUCGAUAGGGAGGAUUCUCAUUAAGACGACAUAGUAGCUGUAAUUGAGAUUUUAUGGAUUUUUUCUGGGUCUGGAUCUUAAGACAAUUUUCGGAAGACUUGUCAGAUUAAUUUCAACUAAUUUGGCUAGAUUUGAAGUCUAAAAUCAAGUUCACCAUAAUUUUCAAAACAACCACCAUUAUGAACUGAUGACUUUUACCUCCAAAGUCAACGAACCAUGAGAGAAAAUCUUUCAAAUAAUACAGUCUAACUUCGAUAAGUCAGACCUUUAUGGUAAAAAAAACUAUAAGGGAAAAAAAUAGAAGAAAAGAAGAACCUUCCGAGGGUUCUGUAUUUGUAAUUUAUUGGUCAUUAAGGAAAAAAUAUAUAAAAUUACAAGCAUAGUUUAAAAGUA